GGUAAACGGCGGCCGUAACUAUAACGGUCCUAAGGUAGCGAAAUUCCUUGUCGGGUAAGUUCCGACCUGCACGAAUGGCGUAAUGAUGGCCAGGCUGUCUCCACCCGAGACUCAGUGAAAUUGAACUCGCUGUGAAGAUGCAGUGUACCCGCGGCAAGACGGAAAGACCCCGUGAACCUUUACUAUAGCUUGACACUGAACAUUGAGCCUUGAUGUGUAGGAUAGGUGGGAGGCUUUGAAGUGUGGACGCCAGUCUGCAUGGAGCCGACCUUGAAAUACCACCCUUUAAUGUUUGAUGUUCUAACGUUGACCCGUGAUCCGGGUUGCGGACAGUGUCUGGUGGGUAGUUUGACUGGGGCGGUCUCCUCCUAAAGAGUAACGGAGGAGCACGAAGGUUGGCUAAUCCUGGUCGGACAUCAGGAGGUUAGUGCAAUGGCAUAAGCCAGCUUGACUGCGAGCGUGACGGCGCGAGCAGGUGCGAAAGCAGGUCAUAGUGAUCCGGUGGUUCUGAAUGGAAGGGCCAUCGCUCAACGGAUAAAAGGUACUCCGGGGAUAACAGGCUGAUACCGCCCAAGAGUUCAUAUCGACGGCGGUGUUUGGCACCUCGAUGUCGGCUCAUCACAUCCUGGGGCUGAAGUAGGUCCCAAGGGUAUGGCUGUUCGCCAUUUAAAGUGGUACGCGAGCUGGGUUUAGAACGUCGUGAGACAGUUCGGUCCCUAUCUGCCGUGGGCGCUGGAGAACUGAGGGGGGCUGCUCCUAGUACGAGAGGACCGGAGUGGACGCAUCACUGGUGUUCGGGUUGUCAUGCCAAUGGCACUGCCCGGUAGCUAAAUGCGGAAGAGAUAAGUGCUGAAAGCAUCUAAGCACGAAACUUGCCCCGAGAUGAGUUCUCCCUGACUCCCUGAGAGUCCUGAAGGAACGUUGAAGACGACGACGUUGAUAGGCCGGGUGUGUAAGCGCAGCGAUGCGUUGAGCUAACCGGUACUAAUGAACCGUGAGGCUUAACCUU
rnacentral:rRNA from 1 species